GGCUCACCACAGGAUGUUAUGAAAUUGAAAACAUGGAAGAUUAUUUCAAGACUUGCUGCUAUCGAAUACAGAUCGCCCCGUGAUCAAUUUGAUAGAUUAUUAAUGUUUAUUAAUACCUAAAGUUGGUUUAGAAAAGUAGUUUGAAGUGAUUUGUAAAAGUUUAUAGGCAACUUUUGUCAUUUUAAAAAGUGACGUUGUGUCUUGUAAAGGGGCAUUUUUCUGGAUCAGACCGGUCUUCAGCAAAUCACAUUUUGGGUAUACAAUGACGGAUUUAAUCGGGAAAAAGACCCAAUUGUGAUGUUUAUGUGACAUAGGAGUGCCAAGAAAGAAGCUCGUCAAAGCCAGAGAAACGGAACUGUGUUUCGUUGGAGGGAAGGCAUGGAGGGAAGGAGUGGGUGGAGAUCUGGACCAUGAUUAGCCCAUCUCUGUGUGGUGGAGAUCCCAGAACUGCAGCCCGACGACUGGAUACGGUCAGGCUCAUCUACUGCUCUCCUUCUGGAGCUCAGGACUUGUCCGUUAAAGCCCCCCCGUCCUCCCCGUGUCAUCGAUGGCCUUCCAGCAUACAUGUCUCUGUUUUUCUAGUCUUCCCCGUUCUGACCUUUUGCCUGCCCUGACACUGAGCCCGCCUGCCUGACCAUUCAGCCUGCCCUGACCUCAAGCCCGCCUGCCGCCCUGUACCUUUUGGACUCUGACCUGGUUAAUGAACUUCUGCCUGUCCUCGACCUGCCUCUUGUCUGACCCUUACUUUUUAAUAAAUAUCAAAGACUCAAA
ensembl:lncRNA